rnacentral:rRNA from 1 species
ACGGGUGAGUAACGCGUAGGUAACCUGCCUGGUAGCGGGGGAUAACUAUUGGAAACGAUAGCUAAUACCGCAUAACAGUAGAUAUUGCAUGAUAUCUGCUUGAAAGGUGCAAUUGCAUCACUACCAGAUGGACCUGCGUUGUAUUAGCUAGUUGGUGAGGUAACGGCUCACCAAGGCGACGAUACAUAGCCGACCUGAGAGGGUGAUCGGCCACACUGGGACUGAGACACGGCCCAGACUCCUACGGGAGGCAGCAGUAGGGAAUCUUCCGCAAUGGGCGAAAGCCUGACGGAGCAACGCCGCGUGAGUGAAGAAGGAUUUCGGUUCGUAAAGCUCUGUUGUUAGGGAAGAAUGAUUGUGUAGUAACUAUACACAGUAGAGACGGUACCUAACCAGAAAGCCACGGCUAACUACGUGCCAGCAGCCGCGGUAAUACGUAGGUGGCAAGCGUUGUCCGGAAUCAUUGGGCGUAAAGGGAGCGCAGGCGGGCAUGUAAGUCUUUCUUAAAAGUGCGGGGCUCAACCCCGUGAUGGGAAAGAAACUACAUGUCUUGAGUACAGGAGAGGAAAGCGGAAUUCCCAGUGUAGCGGUGAAAUGCGUAGAUAUUGGGAGGAACACCAGUGGCGAAGGCGGCUUUUUGGCCUGUAACUGACACUGAGGCGCGAAAGCGUGGGGAGCAAACAGGAUUAGAUACCCU